GGUUACCCCCUUCGGGGCCGCAGCUAACGCAUUAAGUACUCCGCCUGGGAAGUACGCUCGCAAGGGUGAAACUCAAAGGAAUUGACGGGGACCCGAACAAGUAGCGGAGCAUGUGGUUUAAUUCGAAGCAACGCGAAGAACCUUACCUAAGCUUGACAUCCCAAUGACAUCUCCUUAAUCGGAGAGUUCCCUUCGGGGACAUUGGUGACAGGUGGUGCAUGGUUGUCGUCAGCUCGUGUCGUGAGAUGUUGGGUUAAGUCCCGCAACGAGCGCAACCCUUGUCUUUAGUUGCCAUCAUUAAGUUGGGCACUCUAGAGAGACUGCCAGGGAUAACCUGGAGGAAGGUGGGGAUGACGUCAAAUCAUCAUGCC
rnacentral:rRNA from 1 species